GACGAACGCUGGCGGCGUGCUUAACACAUGCAAGUCGAACGGAAAGGCCCUGCUUUUGUGGGGUGCUCGAGUGGCGAACGGGUGAGUAACACGUGAGUAACCUGCCCUUGACUUUGGGAUAACUUCAGGAAACUGGGGCCAAUACCGGAUAGGAGCUCCUGCUGCAUGGUGGGGGUUGGAAAGUUUCGGCGGUUGGGGAUGGACUCGCGGCUUAUCAGCUUGUUGGUGGGGUAGUGGCUUACCAAGGCUUUGACGGGUAGCCGGCCUGAGAGGGUGACCGGCCACAUUGGGACUGAGAUACGGCCCAGACUCCUACGGGAGGCAGCAGUGGGGAAUAUUGCACAAUGGGCGGAAGCCUGAUGCAGCAACGCCGCGUGCGGGAUGACGGCCUUCAGGUUGUAAACCGCUUUCGCCUGUGACGAAGCGUGAGUGACGGUAAUGGGUAAAGAAGCACCGGCUAACUACGUG
rnacentral:rRNA from 1 species